GUAAAAAAUUAUUUCAUUUUAUUACAAAUAUUUUCAGUCAAAGCUUAAACUCAUUGACAAGUGGCUGUUAACAUUAAACUUAUUUAUUUCGACUAACCUCAUUCAUUCAUUUUUUAACAACAUUCUAGUAACAUUUUUAUUUAAAAAUAUUUUUGGAAGACAUAGAUCUAUAUUUAUUUAGCUAUCACAAACAAAUAUCAAUAAACAAUUUAGAUAAAGCGUCUGUAAUUUAUAGGAAAACAUAUGAAGGCAACAAAAAUGGAGAUGUAACAUUACUGGUAAAGCUACUGUGAUCUUGCAGAGUUACUGAGAAAUAAGAUAACUAUAGAAACACGUCAGUAAGAUAACUAUAGAAACACGUCAAAUAAAAAACAAACUUGUAAGUACAGCGAUUGUGAACAUAAGAUUAUGAAGUAGGCGUGACAAUUCUUAUAAUUCACGAUAACAAAGUCAAGAUAGAUCAAACCACAUGUAAUAUAAACAUGUAUUGUGUAUGUGGAUCAAACAUCAUUAUAUAUAGUAGCCAAGAAAAGAAUUUGAUGGAAAUGAUAUCUCCUUUUAACUCAAUAUUCAGUUUUAAUAAAAAUUGGCAUAUUUCUCAUGGGAAAUCACUAUUUCAAUUUUUGUUUAAACUAGAAGUUCAUCUAUUUGUUUAAACACGGCCGGAUUUAAGUAUGUGGAGGCCCUUGGGCAGGAUUUUAGUGGACGCCCCUACACUUUUUAAUAGCUAUAAUAAAAGUCCACUUAUAAAUAAUAAUGCAA